rnacentral:tRNA from 1 species
GGAGACUUGCCUGAGUGGCCGAAAGGGGCACCCUGCUAAGGUGUUAUAGGCGUUCGUCUAUCCGGGGUUCGAAUCCCCGAGUCUCCG